rnacentral:rRNA from 1 species
AUUGAACGCUGGCGGCAGGCUUAACACAUGCAAGUCGAGCGGAUGAAGGGAGCUUGCUCCUGGAUUCAGCGGCGGACGGGUGAGUAAUGCCUAGGAAUCUGCCUGGUAGUGGGGGAUAACGUCUGGAAACGGGCGCUAAUACCGCAUACGUCCUGCGGGAGAAAGUGGGGGAUCUUCGGACCUCACGCUAUCAGAUGAGCCUAGGUCGGAUUAGCUAGUUGGUGGGGUAAAGGCCUACCAAGGCGACGAUCGGUAACUGGUCUGAGAGGAUGAUCAGUCACACUGGAGCUGAGACACGGACCAGGCUCCUGCGGGAGGCAGCAGUGGGGAAUGUUGGACAAUGGGCGGGAGCCUGAUCCAGCCGUGCCGCGUGUGUGGAGAAAGUCUUCGGAUUGGAAAGCACUUUAAGUUGGGAGAAAGGGCAGUAAGUUAAUACCUUGCUGUUUUGACGUUACCAGCAGAAUAAGCACCGGCUAACUUCGUG